rnacentral:sRNA from 1 species
AAGAAGAAGAAAAAAAUAAUCUACUCAAUUUUAAGAGUACUGAUUUAUGGAAGAAA